AACGGCGGCCGUAACUAUAACGGUCCUAAGGUAGCGAAAUUCCUUGUCGGGUAAGUUCCGACCCGCACGAAAGGCGUAACGAUUUGGGCACUGUCUCAACGAGAGACUCGGUGAAAUCAUAGUACCUGUGAAGAUGCAGGUUACCCGCGACAGGACGGAAAGACCCCGUGGAGCUUUACUGUAGCCUGAUAUUGAAAUUCGGCACAGCUUGUACAGGAUAGGUAGGAGCCUUUGAAACGUGAGCGCUAGCUUACGUGGAGGCGUUGGUGGGAUACUACCCUAGCUGUGUUGGCUUUCUAACCCGCACCACUUAUCGUGGUGGGAGACAGUGUCAGGCGGGCAGUUUGACUGGGGCGGUCGCCUCCUAAAAGGUAACGGAGGCGCUCAAAGGUUCCCUCAGAAUGGUUGGAAAUCAUUCAUAGAGUGUAAAGGCAUAAGGGAGCUUGACUGCGAGACCUACAAGUCGAGCAGGGUCGAAAGACGGACUUAGUGAUCCGGUGGUUCCGCAUGGAAGGGCCAUCGCUCAACGGAUAAAAGCUACCCCGGGGAUAACAGGCUUAUCUCCCCCAAGAGUUCACAUCGACGGGGAGGUUUGGCACCUCGAUGUCGGCUCAUCGCAUCCUGGGGCUGUAGUCGGUCCCAAGGGUUGGGCUGUUCGCCCAUUAAAGCGGUACGCGAGCUGGGUUCAGAACGUCGUGAGACAGUUCGGUCCCUAUCCGUCGUGGGCGUAGGAAAUUUGAGAGGAGCUGUCCUUAGUACGAGAGGACCGGGAUGGACAUACCUCUGGUGUACCAGUUGUCGUGCCAACGGCAUAGCUGGGUAGCUAUGUAUGGACGGGAUAAGUGCUGAAAGCAUCUAAGCAUGAAGCCCCCCUCAAGAUGAGAUUUCCCAACUUCGGUUAUAAGAUCCCUCGAAGAUGACGAGGUUAAUAGGUUCGAGGUGGAAGCGUGGUGACACGUGGAGCUGACGAAUACUAAUCGAUCGAAGACUUAAUCAA
rnacentral:rRNA from 1 species